rnacentral:rRNA from 1 species
UACGUAGGGGGCAAGCGUUGUCCGGAUUUAUUGGGCGUAAAGAGCGUGUAGGCGGCUUGGUAGGUCUCGCGUCAAAACCUGCGGCUCAACCGCAGUUCGCGUGGGAAACCACCUAGCUAGAGUCCAGAAGAGGAGAACGGAAUUCCCAGUGUAGCGGUGAAAUGCGCAGAUAUUGGGAAGAACACCAGUGGCGAAGGCGGUUCUCUGGGACGGUACUGACGCUGAGACGCGAAAGCGUGGGGAGCGAACAGG